rnacentral:rRNA from 1 species
AUGGAGGCCAAUCUGAAGAACCAGGCGACCGUGGCGAUGCUUCGCAUUGUCUCCCUCGCAAGCUCCCCUGUCGACCUCAUCAAGGAUGCUCUCCGCAACGUCCUAUAUAUGGACUCCGUCAUUGCGUUUCAGGAGCUGCCGCACGAUGCCCUGGACCUACUUGCCUCAACCCACUCCUUGACCUUGGCGUACCGCGAGGUAUCUGAGCUGGUGAUGUCCGUGGAGGCAGCCAUCAUCAUCGUCGACCGCUGGCUCGAGCCCAGGGCGUCCGGGCUGCAGGGGCUGCCGGCGGCUUCGUGGAGAGUCCGGGCGGAUGAGCUCGUCGGGGCUGUGGCCCAUGCUAGCUGUAUGCUAGUGUCAGCUGGCACGUAUUGCUACCGUGCCUCGGCUGUCCUGAAAGUGUCCAGCGAGCGUUGGCGCACCUUCCCUACCGACCUCCGAAAGACCUGGAUGAAGGAUGCGAGGUCGUCGCUCACCUCUGUACGUGAUCGCCUGAUUGACGCCCUUUGCGCCCUCUCCCAGAUGUCUGCUGCUGCCACCGAAGCCCGGGAUGCCGCCAAUAUACUCAUUGAUUUUCUGUAG